GCCCAGGGGCCCCAGAUCUUCCUUCCUGCCUUCCUUCACUCACUCAACACAGGUCUCCUGGUUGCCUCUCCGCUGCACUCUGCUGUCGCCAGCGCGCCUUGACUUUGUUCCUUUUUUCCAGGCUGAGAGCGAUGGUCCCACCCCAAUCUCCCGAAUGCCAAGCCUGGGCAAGGGAGUGGAAAAUCCUUUGAAAUUCCCAAUAAAUAAAUAAAAAUAACUUGGAGAGCUUGUCGUCAUAGAGACCAAAGGCUUGGUUGGUCGUCAUGGCAACCCUGGGACAGCCGCUGCCUCAAGUGAUCUGCAUGGUUGAGAAAGAAGGGCCGCGGGGUGGAGAGACAGGGCCCCAGCUACAGGGUGAGCGCCGGCGCCAGCUGAUUCUCCAGGCGGGGGCAGAGCAAGGGCAGAGUGAGUUGGGGGUGCAAGGGGAGAGCACACUGUCUUCUGGAACUUUCUUUCCCAGCAAGCUGCCACGCUUUUCAUCAGCAUCAUCCUGAGAGGCGCCUGAAGCUCCGCUUCCCCGGCCCCGGGGCUGUGAGGGGAGCCAGGCCUCCUCCCUGCUCAGCUGCCUGGGCAUCUCCAUGACAACACCGGCCCCUCCCCUCCGUGGGAGCCAGCCCCUGCCUGGGACCUCAGGGAGUUGCCCAGGUGGCGACCUACUGAGGACGAGGAGCCCACCUUUCCUGUUUCCCCCGCAUGCCCAUCGGAGCCCAAGGGAUGGCAGAAGCUCAGGAAAACAAGAGUCAUGGAGAAGCCCAUUCCCUGGGUGGGGCUGGGGUCAAGGGCAGAUCCUCGACCUUAGCCAGGUCUCCCUCCUGCUCACCUACAUAGGGCAAGUGCAGGGACACCCAGGGAGCCCCUUGGAUUCCAUCUCCAUCUUUCCAAGUGCCAAUGCUCAGUUUACCUUGACACAGGGAACAUUUGUACCCGAAACUGGGUUGCAAAGGUGGAGGGGGUGUCUGCAAUUUUUGUUUCCUGUCCGGCUUGUCCUCUUGUGCUGGCCAGCUCUGUCCCCCUCCUCUGCCCCGCCACACCUUUGGAGCACUGACCUCUCCAGGCACCACCCUCACUCCCUGUUCUUCCGGAGGAGCUGCCAAUCACAUUGUCCUGCAACCUGGUGGCCCAGCCACAGCUGCAGUGAUUGGCUCAGGAAUGGACACAUGACCCAUAGCUGGGCCAAUCAGAAUUCUUCCCUGGGACUGUAUAUAGGAAAGCUUGAAGAAAGUGAAGCCUUCUUCUUCCCUUUGGGCUUGGAGCAGAAGGGUGAUUCUGAGGCCUGGGUCUGAGCUCCCCAGGUCGGGUGGGAGGUCAGAGGGCGGGAGGGGAGUGAGUUCCCAGAUGUCUGGUAGCCGGCUGCUUGUGGAUGGCCCCGGGCUGCAGCCCUGUCCCCCUGGGGGGAACUCUCCUGGGAAAUCUUUCCUGGGAGGCUGGUGGCAGGCGCUGAUCUCCGGCCUUCUCAGCUGCCUGCUCUAGUGUAGGCAGCCUGGCUGUCAUAAACAGUCUGACUGCCUGGCAGGUAGAAAGGUUAGUGGUGGAUUCAGCGGCUUCUGUAAAUCCUGCUUCCGUCUCCGACAUCACAGGUCUCGGCCCGGCUGAGACGCCGGCUGCCUGGACUCAUCGCCUCCCAAGCUUGAACUUGACCCUGCCCUGCUCUCUGAACUUCAAGGCAGGACGCUCCCCGGCCCUUGCAGUGCCCGCUUCCCCUGCAGUGCUGGCCAACAGCAACAGAGAGCAAACAAUUUCAAUUUUUCUAGCAGCCUCAUCAAAAAGUAAGAAGACAAAGAUGAAAUGAAUUUCACUAAUGCGUUUCCUUCAAUCCAUUAUCUCUAAGAUGCUAUCUCCAUACGUAAUGGGUGUCAGCUGUAACUGGAACGUUUUGCAUUCUGUCUUUUGUUUUUUUUUUUUUAUUAUUGUUUUUUCACAGGGAGAGUGGACAGAGAGAGAGAGAGAGAGACAGAGAGAAAGGUCUUCCUUUGCCGUUGGUUCACCCUCCAAUGGCUGCCGCGGCUUGUGCGCUGUGGCCAGCGCACCGCGCUGAUCCGCAGGCAGGAGCCAGGUGCUUCUCCUGGUCUCCCAUGGGGUGCAGGGCUCAAGCACUUGGGCCAUCCUCCACUGCACUCCCUGGCCACAGCAGAGAGCUGGCCUGGAAGAGGGGCAACCGGGACAGAAUCCGGUGCCCCGACCGGGGCUAGAACCCAGUGUGCCGGCGCCGCAAGGCCAAGUGAGCCGCGGCGCGGGCCUGCAUUCUGUCUUUUGUAUGAAGACUUUACUCUUCCAGCCCAUCGG
ensembl:lncRNA